CGGUGAAUACGUUCCCGGGCCUUGUACACACCGCCCGUCACACCAUGGGAGUUGGUUCUACCUGACGUGUGGCCUUCGCGCCGCCCUAAGGUAGGGGAGAUGAUUGGGGUU
rnacentral:rRNA from 1 species